rnacentral:rRNA from 1 species
CCUACGGGCGGCAGCAGUGGGGAAUAUUGGGCAAUGGGCGCAAGCCUGACCCAGCAACGCCGCGUGAAGGAAGAAGGCUUUCGGGUUGUAAACUUCUUUUAUCAGGGACGAAGCAAGUGACGGUACCUGAGGAAUAAGCCACGGCUAACUACGUGCCAGCAGCCGCGGGAAUACGUAGGUGGCAAGCGUUAUCCGGAUUUACUGGGUGUAAAGGGCGUGUAGGCGGGGGUGCAAGUCAGAUGUGAAAACUAUGGGCUCAACCCAUAGACUGCAUUUGAAACUGUACUUCUUGAGUGUUGGAGAGGUAAGCGGAAUUCCGUGUGUAGCGGUGAAAUGCGUAGAUAUACGGAGGAACACCAGUGGCGAAGGCGGAUUGCUGGACAGUAACUGACGCUGAGGCGCGAAAGCGUGGGGAGCAAACAGGAUUAGAUACCCUUGUAGUC